rnacentral:misc_RNA from 1 species
UUAAGUUCAGCGGGUAUCCCUACCUGAUUCGAGGUCAAAAUUGGGGGUUACUUGAUGGACGCGAGCCCGCCGAAAGCCUUCAAGAUCGCAAUGUGCUGCGCGAGAAGCCGGCGAAGCCGCUGCCAAUGGAUUUGGGGCGAGUCCGCGCCGAAAGCGCGGACAGACGCCCAACACCAAGCAUGAGCUUGAGGAUGUAAAUG